UCCUCGAUAGCUCAGUCGGUAGAGCAAUCGGCUGUUAACCGAUCGGUCGUAGGUUCGAGUCCUACUCGAGGAGCCA
rnacentral:tRNA from 19 species